GUGCUCGCUUUGGCAGCACAUAUACUAGAACUGGAAAGAUACAGAGACGAUUAGCACCGCCCCUGUGCAAGGAUGACAGGCAAAUUUGUGAAGCGCUCCAUAUUUUA
ensembl:snRNA U6 U6 spliceosomal RNA